AUCGAUCCAUCUCUCUGGUAUGAACUUGCGUGGACGCCUCAGUGGAAUCAACAAUCUUUGCCAGCUUCCAGCCUUGGAGAGCAUCGACCUGUCAAGCAACAAUUUCAGUGGAGGAUUUCCAGACCAGUUGAUCGAGUGUGUCAAGCUUAGAUACCUCAACUUGAGCUUCAAUGGCAUCUCUGGUGAGCUUCCUGCGUCGGGCUUCCGCAAUCUUAGCCGGCUGCUGGUGCUUGAUCUCUCGCGGAAUGGAAUACAGGGACAAAUCCCUUGGGACAUGAUGCGCAUAGAGACCUUGCGACUACUUGAUCUCUCCAGGAACAACCUGAGUGGCACUAUUCCCUGGAACAUCAGCAUGAUCAAUCUAAGAAUGUUGUCCCUGGCAAAGAACAAGCUAACUGGAGAAAUACCUGGUGAGUUUGGCAGACUGUCCAGGCUCCGCGAGCUCCAGCUGUGGAAGAACAUCCUUUCGGGGAGGAUUCCUCUCGCAUUUUCUCA
rnacentral:lncRNA from 1 species